AGAUUUUAGCAGCGGUUCAUUUAGCGGCGGUUGGGGAAGCCGCCGCAGAUUGAUUAAAAUUUAUUAAAAUUAGAAGGGGUCACGUGAACCCUAACUCAUUUGCUUCGUUCGGGUUUCAAUUGCUUCGUUCCAGUUUCAUUCAUAUUUUCCUCUGAAACCCAUCUUCUAUUUCGCGAACCCUAAUCUCAUUCUCACUCAGCCAGCCAUGGAUUGAAACCUCCUUCUCAUCUCGCGAUUUGCCUUUUCUUCUCCACGAGAUUUGGAUCGAAGAACGAAGGUGCGUCUUCCCCCGCUCAGUCAUGGACAACAAACAUUGAUCUCGUUCAGCAUGUCUGUGUCUAAUAUCAUUGUAUUCUAGCUUGGACUUGAACAACUUUGAGAGUGAUCCUGAAGAGUUUGCUAGAAUCUUCUGCAAAGACAUGGGUAUUGCGGAUCCUGAGGUUGGGAUUUCUAUUCAAAGUGUGGUUUCUGCAAGAGAAAGAAGAUUAAGCAAGAAGGGUCGUCGAGGGGGUGACUAUACUCCAAUCAGUAAAUGAGGUGCUGUGGCAGUGGACUUGGUCAAGUUAUUUGGUCAGAAAUCUAUGUAGCUUUGAUACUUUCCUGGUAGAUCUAUUUUUAAGCCUGAUCUUAUAUGAUAACCAGUUUCAUUGUUACUUGCUUUAAUUUAUUGUUUUACAUGAUUGGUAGCAUGUUUUGGCUUGAUGUUGGAUAAUUGCUUUUAAAAGUCAGAGGCAGAAGAUUGGAAUAGCUUUGAGAGUAGUAAGCUUCUCCGAUUGCUGCUACCAGUGAGAGGUGUUCAGUAUUCCUCAUUUUUCAAUGAUAUAUGUGGAUUCUGGAUUAAGCCAAAUCAUCAUCUUUCAAUGCAGUGGAAACUGAAAAGGAAAGCGAUUGAAGUAAUGUUUACUAUGAUUUAUCUUAACUGGGAUAUAACAUAACUAGCACUAAGGCUUGUAAUUUCAUAUCUUUAUCUCGAUAGCAUGUAUAGAGCAACUUACCUAGUGUGGUUAUAGUCUCUCUUCCUUUUAUCUUGAUAAAAUAACCAACUCCAUUGUUUUGACUCUUCUAUUUAUCAUAAUCUAAUUUGUUGAAAUAUCCUAUUGUGCUUUGAAACUUUGUAUAUCUGAAUGAAUAUUUCCAAAUGUU